GCGGGGCCAGACGCAGCCGAGUAUCUUUAGGAGGACUUUAAAGCGUUCAGGGAUUUUAGGUGCCGCUGUGGAGUUCCGUGGCUGUUCUUCCACUGGAGGGCGCAGUAGUUCCUUAAGAGGGAAUGGUGCGGCGAAUAGCUGUGAGUUCAAAGUCCUGACUACAGAGUUUUGCUCUUGUUGCCCAGGCUGGAGUGCAAUGGCGCGAUCUCGGCUCACCACAACCUCUGCUUCCUGGGUUCAAGCGAUUCUCCUGCCUCAGCCUCCUGAGUAGCUGGGAUUACAGGCAUGUGCCACCAAGCCCAGACAGAAUUUCGCCCUAUCACCCAGGCUGUAGUGCUGUGGUGUAAUCUCGGCUCACCACAACCUCCGCCUCCUAGGUUCAAGCCAUUCUCCUGCUUCAGCUUCCUGAGUAGCUGUGACUACAGGCGUGCACCACCACACCUGGCUAAUUUUUGUAUUUUUAGUAGAGACGGGGUUUCACCACAUUGGCCAGGCUGGUCUUGAACUCCUGACCUCAAGUGAUUCACCCGCCUGGGCCUUCCAAAGUGCUGGGAUUACAGGCGUGAGCCACUGUGCCCGACCAUAACUCUAACAUUUUAUCAUCAAGAAAUGCUUGCUAUAUGUAUACAUACAUUAGAUUCACAGCCUGCAUAAGAGUUUGUGUGAUUUCUUACUUAGUAAAUACUGAGUGGUAAGGACAAUUCCAAAUUCAUCCCAUGAAAGUUAAUAGGGAAUUCCUAGCAGGUCACACAGGUCAGAUAGAAAAUCUGUCCUUCAUGAAACGCUGAGGACGUGCAAUUCCAAUUAAACCCACUCAAUCUGGAGAAAGAAAUCAAAGGGAGGGGGUGGGCCUGGAAAGAGUACAUCUUAUCUUCAGGUACUGUUUGUUUGAUUUUUUUAAUACUUGGGGUUUGUUUCUGGGAAGAAUUCUUGACCUGGCAAAAAUUCAUAGUAAUUACUCAGGGGAAAGGAAAAAGAAGAAACAAACAAACAAAAAAUACAUUAAUGUGGAUGGAAAAAAAAUCUAAGAACAUGGUGUUGGUGGGAGAGAAGACUAAAGGUUUGUGAAAGACCCACCCAAGUGCUUUUGAUGUUUGACCAAUUAUUAUCUUAUUGUUCUUCCUGCUAUAGAUACAGCUGCAAUUUAUGUAACAGGAUGUUUAAAAAGAUUAAAGAGAAUCUGUAGUAGGGUUCUGAGAUGAUAAGAGUCCCUAGAAUAUGCAUUUAUGGACGUUUAGAAUAUAAGUUCCUGUACAUUCUUAGAAUAAACCAUCUAUUUGUUUCCUUUUUUAAAAAAGAAACAAGCAAAAUUUGUAUUUCAGUAUGGCUGCUUCCUUCCAGCAAGUGAUAUGGAAUAACAGACAAAGACAGCAAACAAAUAACAGAGCAAAGACAAGUUGGUGGUGGUUCAAACUGUGGCCCAUGCUGGUUCUUAAUUAGCUUUGAGCUUUGAAUCUAAAAUGUUUUAACUCUACAUUAUACACAUGUUUGGAAUUUAUUUGGAUUAAACCUGUUCAUCAGAAAAUGGAUUAUUCUAUGAUACAAGCAGGAUCAUUGUGUGAAAUUUAUGAUUGCAAUCACCCAAUGUGAAGAUGAAAGUUUAAACGUUUUUUUGCUAGAGGAGUUUUCAAAAAAAAAAAAAAAAAGUGUUCUAUAGAUGUCCCCAACAUACAGAGUGACUUACUGGCAUUUAAGUCUUUCUGCCAUGUGGAGUGCUAUCUUAAAUGAUAAAUUGGCACUGGGCACUUGAUAAAAGGGCAUUGGGGCAUAUUCUCCAAGUUUCUGGUGUUAGUCAUGAAUUAAUUGCUUGUUAACUUUAAUUCUUCUAGCAACCUAGGCUAAUAUCUACUGCUUACUUGCUCUCUCUCUCUCACUGUAUUUCUGUGCAUGUGUAUGUGUGUAAUUUUCUUCUGAACUUGUUUCUGUUUGAUAAUAAGUUACAGACAUGAUGCCCCUUUCCUUUAAGCACUUCAGUGUAUAUUUUCUUUUCUUUGUUUUUUUUUGUUUUUUUUGUUUUUUUUUUUUUUUUUGAGACAGAGUUUUGCUCUGUCGCCCAGGCAGGAGUGCGGUGGCAUGAUCUCGACUCACUGCAACCUCUGCCUCCUGGAUUCCAGCUAUUCUCCUGCCUCAGCCUCCGGGUAGCUGGGACUACAUGUGCAUGCCACCAUGCCCAGCUAAUUUUGAAUUUUUAGUAGAGAGAGGGUUUCACCAUGUUGGCCAGGCUGGUCUCAAACUCCUGACCUCGUGAUCUGCCUGCCUUGGCCUCCCAAAGUGCUGGGAUUACAGGAGUGAGCCAUCACGCCCUGCCAGUGUAUAUUUUCUAAAAACAAGGAUAUUCUCUUUCAUAACCACAAUUAUAAAAGUUAAGAAAUCAAUAUUGAUUCAAUAAUAUUUUCUAACCUACAGACCUCAUUUGAAUUUGCUCAAAUGUUCCAAUAAUGUCCAUUAUGGUAAAAUAAAUUCUAUAUCAUACAUUG
rnacentral:lncRNA from 1 species